GCCCUUGUUGCGCAGUGGUAGCGUUCUAGAGUACAAAUCUAGAGGUCGUGGGUUCGAGUCCCAAUCGGGUA
rnacentral:tRNA from 1 species